CUUGGUCAUUUAAAGGAAGUAAAAGUCGUAACAAGGUUUCCGUAGGUGAACCUGCGGAAGGAUCAUUAAAAACUUUUAUCCGGGAAUUCGUUUCGUCUUCCCGGAUUAUUUGUAUUCAAAUCCCACUCUUUAUAAAUAUAUCAAUUAUAUAAAACAAAUAUAAAAAAGAAAACUUUCAACAACGGAUCUCUUGGCUCUCGCAUCGAUGAAGAACGCAGCGAAAUGCGAUACGUAAUGUGAAUUGCAGAUUCCGUGAAUCAUCGAAUCUUUGAACACAAAUUGUACUUUUCAGUAAUCUGGAAAGUAUGCUUGGUUGAGGGUCAUUAAAAUAACAUUCGUGAUUUUUUUCGCGGAUUUGAGUUUUCCAGUAUUUAUAAAUAAAUGCUGGUAACUUUAAAAUUAUUUAUAACUUGGUACAAGUUGAAAACGUGCUAUAUGUGUGGUUCGCUGACAACUUGUCCAUCUUUAUAUAUUAUGCGCGUGCUUGGCUUUUUAAGUUUUGUGCGAGUAUAUAUUUUUUUUUAUGACCUCAGCUCAAGCAAGAAUACCCGCUGAACUUAAGCAUAUCAAUAAGCGGAGGAAAAGAAACUAACAAGGAUUCCCCUAGUAACGGCGAGUGAAGAGGGAAAAGCUCAAAUUUUAAAUCUACCUGGUUCCCAGGUCGAAUUGUAAUUUGAAGAAGCGAUAUCUGUGUUGAGGUCUGGUUCAAGUUCUUUGGAACAAGACAUCAUGGAGGGUGAGAAUCCCGUGCAUGAUCAGACCAAGAUACUUAAUAUUCGUUUUCUAAGAGUCGAGUUGUUUGGGAAU
rnacentral:sRNA from 1 species